rnacentral:rRNA from 1 species
UGACCCCAAGACCGAUAGCAAACAAGUACAGUGAUGGAAAUUUGAAAAGAACUUUGAAGAGAGAGUUAAGAGUACGUGAAACUGUAUGGCAGUAAACGCAGCCUUCCUCGAAGUUUCCCUGGUGUACCCAGCCUUGGGUUUGGCCAGCUCCUGUAUUCGGAUCAGCAAUGACCGGGUGCGGGAUGUCUGUCUGAUCCACGGGUGCAACUUCACCAGGUGUUACGGUGGGAACUGUUGGGACCGGACCAAAGGCUUGGGAUGAAGUUCUCUCUUCGGAGUUAGCUCCCGAUGUCCUGGCUUCGGAUCCGACAGGCAUGUGACCAACUUGUACAGCAAGCAACCCUUCUGUUGCGGUUGGUCGUUCCCCACCGAGUAGGUCGGUGGAGGCUGUGACCCGUCUUGAAACACGGACCAAGGAGUCUAACAUGUGUACGAGUCAUUGGGUUGACUAAACCCGAAGGCGCAGUGAAAGCAAAGAGUCGUUUCGGCUUGAGGGACGAGGCCUAACCGCUGCAGUCCCGCCAUUUCCAAUCAUCCUCGCUAUGUUGGGAAUAGGCAGAGUAUAUAUGUUGGGACCCGAAAGAUGGUGAACUAUGCCUGGCCAGGUUAAAGUCAGGCGAAAGCCUGAUGGAGGACCGUAGCGAUUCUGACGUGCAAAUCGAUCGUCGGAGCUGGGUAUAGGGGCGAAAGACUAAUCGAACCAUCUAGUAGCUGGUUCCUGUCGAAGUUUCCCUCAGGAUAGCUGGUACUCAUUAACGAGUUUCAUCCGGUAAAGCGAAUGAUUAGAAGCCUUGGGGGCGAAACGCCCUCAACUUAUUCUCAAACUUUAAAUGGGUGAGAAGCCCGUGUUGCUUGAGUGAACUCGGGCACUGAAUCGGAGUACCUAGUGGGCCAUUUUUGGUAAGCAGAACUGGCGCUGCGGGAUGAACCGAACGCAAGGUUAAAGUGCCCAAAUGGAAGUUCAUCAGAUCCCACGAAAGGUGUUGGUUGCUUAAGACAGCAGGACGGUGGCCAUGGAAGUCGGAAUCCGCUAAGGAGUGUGUAACAACUCACCUGCCGAAGCAACCAGCCCUGAAAAUGGAUGGCGCUAAAACUUCCUACUUAUACCUUGCCAUUGAAUCAGAGCUUGGCCCUUUGAGGCCCUGACGAUUCAAUGAGUAGGCAGGUCGAACCGGUGGCGUGGAAGGCUCUGGGAGUGAUCCUGGCUGAAGCCGCCGGUUGUGCAGAUCUUGGUGGUAGUAGCAAAUACUCCAGAGAGGCCCUGGAGGACCGAUGUGGAGAAGGGUUUCGUGUGAACAGCCGUUGAACACGAGUCAGUCGAUCCUAAGGCUUAGUGGAAGCAUUGUUCAAUAGGGCGGUGAUCUAUUUCUAUAGAGCCGCAUCUACAGCCGAAAGGGAAACUGGUCCAUAUUCCAGUACCUGGUAGCGUAACCGUUGGGAGCCUCGUAUCUCACGUGGUAACACGAACAGAGCUUGAGACGCCCGCCCGAACUCUGGGAAGAGUUGUCUUUUCUGCAUAAGCAACCGAGGCCCUGGAAUUUCUUUGAGAAGAGAAUGGGUUUUGGUUUUGCCAAGAGCACAGCAGUUCUCGUUGUGUCCAUGAGCGUCGGGCGGGACCUUGAAAAUCAAGCUGAGGGCUUCGGCGAGUCGCACCAGUUCGUACCCAUAUCCGCAGCAGGUCUCCUAGGUAAACAGCCUCUGGUCGAUAGAAUAAUGUAGGUAAGGGAAGUCGGCAAAUUGGUUCCGUAACUUCGGGAAAAGGAAUGGCUCUAAAGGCCGGGGUGUUUGGGCUUAGUGCAGGAAGCAGUCGGUUUAUCGGUGGGCCUGGCGAAACCUUCGCGGUGAAGUCGGUCCCAUUCUCAAGCUACUGUGGAGUGCCUUUGCUUCGCAGUCCCGGGCAACCGGGUAACUGUUCAAGCAUCAAUUAACGGCUAAUUUAGAACUGGCACGGACAAGGGGAAUCCGACUGUUUAAUUAAAACAAAGCAUUGCGAUGGUCAGAGAGUGAUGUUGACGCAAUGUGAUUUCUGCCCAGUGCUCUGAAUGUCAAAGUGAAGAGGUUCGUCCAAGCGCGGGUAAACGGCGGGAGUAACUAUGACUCUCUUAAGGUAGCCAAAUGC